UCUACAGAUACUAUUACGGUGAAUGUUCAUCGGAGAUAUCGACGCUGAUCCCGCCUAUCCACAAUUCGACUCUUGUCACUAGGCAAUCAGCACGAGCACAUCCCCAUGUUGUCGCUUCUGAAUUUUGCCGCACGGCAAAGUUCAAGGGAACUUUCUUCUCAGUUGCGAUUCGUUUGUGGAAUAGUCUUCCGGUUCAUGUCUUCCCCCCCCGUAUGUAAUCCUCAACUUUUCAAGAAUAAUAUUAAUACCCAUUACCGAGCAUUUCCCCCAAUUAUUUAGGCUAGACCGUGUUGAUGUGAACCAUCAACAUCAAAGGGAUACAUCCCUUGUGUUUGUGCUUGCAUGUAAAAAAAAAAAAAUUAAUUGGUCUUGCA